GUGCCAGCAGCCGCGGUAAUACGUAGGGGGCAAGCGUUGUCCGGAUUUACUGGGCGUAAAGAGCGUGUAGGCGGCCAAACAGGUCCGUUGUGAAAACUGGAGGCUCAACUUCCAGACGUCGACGGAAACCGUGUGGCUAGAGUCCGGAAGAGGAGAGUGGAAUUCCUGGUGUAGCGGUGAAAUGCGCAGAUAUCAGGAAGAACACCAAUGGCGAAGGCAGCUCUCUGGGACGGUACUGACGCUGAGACGCGAAAGCGUGGGGAGCGAACAGGAUUAGAUACCCUGGUAGUCC
rnacentral:rRNA from 1 species